AGGGCCAACACUUGGAUUGUGAUCAAAUGUGCACCCAUGGGGCUUGUAUUGACACUUUCCUUUGAUAGGAACUUACUCUGCAAGAGUUUGAUGUCCUUUUUUUUGCUUCUCUUUUCUUCUCAGUUUUCAUGACAUUGAGCACUUGGGUAUCCUCACUUUGCCUACCCAAAUGGAAAGGAUACAUACACAUAAGGUGGAUAAUCGCAGAAGUAGUGUUUCUCAACUCACUCAAAAGCAAAAGCAUAUUACAUGUUGUAGACUGGUUUGGUGGGUUUAGUGUUCUCUUUGUUGAUUGUGUGUCAGUCUUUCAUUGUGACUAUUUUAGAGUCGUUUGGAGCCUAUAUUGGAGUUGUACAUAAUGUGUAUCAGAAGAGGGAAAAUGGAACUUGAGCUUUUGAGAUUGUGUGUGCAAGCACACAAAUUAUAGCCAAGAAAAACUGGGCUGCAACAAUAUGUUCAUUAAAUGAUGUUUUGAAUCUCUUCUUAAGAUGAUGAACA
rnacentral:lncRNA from 1 species